rnacentral:rRNA from 1 species
UGAUUUCCUUCGGGACUGAUUAUUUUGUGACUGAGUGGCGGACGGGUGAGUAACGCGUGGGUAACCUGCCUUGUACAGGGGGAUAACAGUUGGAAACGGCUGCUAAUACCGCAUAAGCGCACAGUAUCGCAUGAUGCAGUGUGAAAAACUCCGGUGGUAUAAGAUGGACCCGCGUUGGAUUAGCUAGUUGGUGAGGUAACGGCCCACCAAGGCGACGAUCCAUAGCCGACCUGAGAGGGUGACCGGCCACAUUGGGACUGAGACACGGCACAAACUCCUACGGGAGGCAGCAGUGGGGAAUAUUGCACAAUGGGCGAAAGCCUGAUGCAGCGACGCCGCGUGAGCGAAGAAGUAUUUCGGUAUGUAAAGCUCUAUCAGCAGGGAAGAUAAUGACGGUACCUGACUAAGAAGCACCGGCUAAAUACGUGCCAGCAGCCGCGGUAAUACGUAUGGUGCAAGCGUUAUCCGGAUUUACUGGGUGUAAAGGGAGCGCAGGCGGUGCGGCAAGUCUGAUGUGAAAGCCCGGGGCUCAACCCCGGUACUGCAUUGGAAACUGUCGUACUAGAGUGUCGGAGGGGUAAGCGGAAUUCCUAGUGUAGCGGUGAAAUGCGUAGAUAUUAGGAGGAACACCAGUGGCGAA